rnacentral:rRNA from 1 species
GACGAACUGUCCUAACGUUGUUCGGAAUCACUGGGCUUAAAGGGUUCGUAGGUGGCUGGCUAAGUCAGACGUGAAAUCCCUCAGCUCAACUGGGGAACUGCGUCUGAGACUGGUCAGCUUGAGUGCAGGAGAGGAACGCGGAAUUCCAGGUGUAGCGGUGAAAUGCGUAGAUAUCUGGAGGAACACCGGUGGCGAAGGCGGCGUUCUGGACUGCAACUGACACUGAGGAACGAAAGCCAGGGGAGCAAACGGG